rnacentral:rRNA from 1 species
CCUACGGGAGGCAGCAGUGGGGAAUAUUGGGCAAUGGGCGCAAGCCUGACCCAGCAACGCCGCGUGAAGGAAGAAGGCUUUCGGGUUGUAAACUUCUUUUAAGAGGGAAGAGAAGAAGACGGUACCUCUUGAAUAAGCAAUGGCUAACUACGAGGCAUCAGCCGCGGUAAUACGUAGGGGGCAGGCGUUGUCCGGAUUUACUGGGUGUAAGGGGCGUGUAGCCGGGCUGACAAGUCAGAUGUGAAAUCCGGGGGCUCAACCCCCGAACUGCAUUUGAAACUGUUGGUCUUGAGUAUCGGAGAGGCAGACGGAAUUCAUAGUGUAGCGGUGAAAUGCGUAGAUAUUAGGAGGAACACCAGUUGCGAAGGCAGUCUGCUGAACAGCAACUGACGCUGAGGCGCGAAAGCGUGGGGAGCAAACAGGAUUAGAUACCCUUGUAGUC